UAUGUAUGUGAUGGACAUGUCCAUGAUUGCCUGCACGGGAUUGCAUACAUGAGAUGGUAGGAUGUGUCUUGUUGGAGUCUCUUGUUGCUGGCUUUGGCAAAGGAAGCAGAAAUGCAUGGACCACCUCUGUGGACAUAGUCAAGUGGCAAGGAAUUGCAGCUGCAAAGAACCGAAUUUUGCAAACAACCUAGGUGAGCUUGGAAGCAGGGUCUUUCCCACGGAGCCUCAGUGGAGACCACAGCCUGGGCUGACAUCUUGAUUGAAGCCUUGUGAGAUCCCCCCAAGCAGGGGACCCAGAGCUGUGAAGUCCAUUACGAAAGCCUACGUACCUGCGGCUAUUGAGGCCUUGAAAUGUGGCUGGUCUGAACUGAGAUGUGCUCAGUUCUCCAUAUGGAAUUAGAAUUGUGAUAAAUGCUAUGACAGAAGGAUAUGCAGUUAAAGCAUUUGUAAUAAAUGCUUUAAUAGAGGUAUACUCACAAUGCUAUGACAAGGAGAGAGAGGGAACACUCUGGGUCACAGUUGUGCUUGACCAAGCACAUCACUAAGCCUUCAGGGAUGGAUGCAGUAAAUCUCUAGCCAAAGGCCAUGUUGAUCAUUUCUCAAGCUCAGUCCGUCCAGACCUGUCGGGCAACACCCCUAG